UCUUGGUCCCAUUAGAGGAAGUAAAAGUCGUAACAAGGUCUCCGUUGGUGAACCAGCGGAGGGAUCAUUACUGAGUUUACGCUCUAUAACCCUUUGUGAACAUACCUACAACUGUUGCUUCGGCGGGUAGGGUCUCCGUGACCCUCCCGGCCUCCCGCCCCCGGGCGGGUCGGCGCCCGCCGGAGGAUAACCAAACUCUGAUUUAACGACGUUUCUUCUGAGUGGUACAAGCAAAUAAUCAAAACUUUUAACAACGGAUCUCUUGGUUCUGGCAUCGAUGAAGAACGCAGCGAAAUGCGAUAAGUAAUGUGAAUUGCAGAAUUCAGUGAAUCAUCGAAUCUUUGAACGCACAUUGCGCCCGCCAGCAUUCUGGCGGGCAUGCCUGUUCGAGCGUCAUUUCAACCCUCAAGCUCUGCUUGGUGUUGGGGCCCUACAGCUGAUGUAGGCCCUCAAAGGUAGUGGCGGACCCUCCCGGAGCCUCCUUUGCGUAGUAACUUUACGUCUCGCACUGGGAUCCGGAGGGACUCUUGCCGUAAAACCCCCAAUUUUCCAAAGGUUGACCUCGGAUCAGGUAGGAAUACCCGCUGAACUUAAGCAUAUCAAAGCCGGGAGGAAA
rnacentral:rRNA from 1 species